rnacentral:rRNA from 1 species
AUUGAACGCUGGCGGCAGGCCUAACACAUGCAAGUCGAGCGCGCGGCGCACGGGUGAGUAAUGUCUGGGAAACUGCCUGUUGGGGGGGGGUAACUCCUGGGAAAAGUGUCUAAUAUCCCAUACCCUCAGAUAUGCGCAGAUGGGAUUAGCUAGUAGGUGGGGUAACGGCUCACCUAGGCGACGAUCCCUAGCUGGUCUGAGAGGAUGACCAGCCACACUGGAACUGAGACACGGUCCAGACUCCUACGGGAGGCAGCAGUGGGGAAUAUUGCGCAAUGGGCGCAAGCCUGAUGCAGCCAUGCCGCGUGUGUGAAGAAGGCCUUCGGGUUGUAAAGCACUUUCAGCGGGGAGGCGUUACCCGCAGAAGAAGCACCGGCUAACUCCGUGCCAGCAGCCGCGGUAAUUC